AUUGAACGCUGGCGGCAUGCUUUACCCAUGCAAGUCGAACGGGGUGGGGGGCAACCCUCAUUCAGUGGCGAACGGGUGAGUAAUGCAUCGGAACGUAUCCCGUAGUGGGGGACAACGCCGCGAAAGCGGCGCUAAUACCGCAUAUGCUCUACGGAGGAAAGUGGGGGACCUGAAAGGGCCUCACGCUAUGGGAGCGGCCGAUGUCCGAUUAGCUAGUUGGUGGGGUAAUGGCCCACCAAGGCGACGAUCGGUAGCUGGUCUGAGAGGAUGAUCAGCCACACUGGGACUGAGACACGGCCCAGACUCCUACGGGAGGCAGCAGUGGGGAAUUUUGGACAAUGGGGGCAACCCUGAUCCAGCCAUGCCGCGUGCGGGAAGAAGGCCUUCGGGUUGUAAACCGCUUUUAGUCGGGAAGAAAAGGCAUCUCCUAAUGCGGGGUGUUCUUGACGGUACCGGCGGAAUAAGCACCGGCUAACUACGUGCCAGCAGCCGCGGUAAAAC
rnacentral:rRNA from 1 species